UACAGAGGGUGCGAGCGUUGUUCGGAAUUACUGGGCGUAAAGCGCGCGUAGGCGGACCUGCAAGUCGGGGGUGAAAGCCCGAGGCUCAACCUCGGAACUGCCUUCGAUACUGCGGGUCUCGAGUCCGGGAGAGGUGAGUGGAAUUCCUAGUGUAGAGGUGAAAUUCGUAGAUAUUAGGAAGAACACCAGUGGCGAAGGCGGCUCACUGGCCCGAUACUGACGCUGAGGCACGAAAGCGUGGGGAGCAAACAGG
rnacentral:rRNA from 1 species